CAGCCCCUCGCGCCCUUCGCUCCCCUCAGCCCCGCGGCCGCCUCGCCACCUCCCUCCUUGCACGCUCCGCUGGUUGCGCUUCCCCCAUCCGUUAGGCUCCUGUCUCGGAAUCCUGUCGUUUCCUCCUGUGGUGGCGGUGUUCGGGGGGCGUGUGGCACAUUCCUGGUGUUGGGGGCUGCAGGGGCUCGGCUCUCCCGGGCCCAGGAGACAGGUGAAGCCCUCAGUUUGUUGGGUAGCGAAGGCAGGUAGCUCAGGAAGGAGAGUUCACGCUUGUCUCAAGCAGCCACCUGCCGCCCUGGGGACCUGGAGCAGUGGCCCAGGAGGUUGUGGUUACUGAGAGUACCGAUGCUGAUCCAUCUGAUCUGAGCCUUUUCUCUGAACAACUUCCAUAGGACAGUGCAGGAUCUGCAGAGUGUUGGGUUUUUUGGCAUUAUCCUGGACUUGAAGAGCGUGCUUUUCCCCCAGCUAAUUGAAAAGAACUGAUUUUCACAUCCACCUCUAAUCAAAAACAGUGUCCUUUUUAGUGGCAUGUACUGUGAAAAAGAAAACCAGCAUUUGACUUCUUGUCUCUACAUAUUUCCAUGCUGACAGCUGAAGUGACAUUGAGGAGAAACUGUGCAAUUAUCCAGCUGUACUGACACCAUUAGGGAGCUUGGUCUGGAUCACAGGUCUGCGGGUAUCCAUCAAGCUCAUGAAAAAACUGCUCAUUCUAGUUUGAAUGGCUUAACUGCUUUGGCAUAUAUGUGUGAGAACGAUUUCAUUAUUGAACCUAUUACUAAGGGGAGGAAUUGAGGAGGUGAAAAUGGGCAGAUACUGAUUCUCCACCAGAAGAAUCAUAGGCAAAGAAACACUAAUUCCUCUACAAACUGGAAGUUUCUGCCUGCCUCAACCACCUUCCAAAGCUGCUGGAAGUGGGUGGAUGAACACACAGAGCUCUUGCUGAACUACUGAGCUUGGACACAAGCUUUGAGGCCACAUGGUUGAAUCCAAGAGUCAUCCUUCAUCCCUGGACCAGAGACAUCCCAUGAACCUUCAUCCUUUGCCUGGUAGCAGCUGUGUGGUGGAAUGGCAGCUCCCUGGCUCCUGCACAUGCAAAACAUUUGAAUUUCCUGUUGGCUCAGAGGAACCAGGCCACAGAUGCCUUGGACUUGGAAUUCAGCUUGCAAGCGAGAACAAGUGUGACCAGCAGGAGAUGGGCCAUCUUGCUGAGAAGAGAUCCUGAAGCAUUGUACAGAUGGAGAUUUUCAUUCAGAAUCAGACCUCACAAAACAUGUGGCAGAUAAAGUGUAGGCCACAUUUUUAUAAAGAUUUUAAAAAUCUCACUUUUGAACAAAUCAUUAGCCCUUUACUUUUUUUCUCUGCAGAUAUUAAGUGACUGAAAAUCAAUAUUUGAAGGAAAGAGAACAGCUGGGAACCUGGAGUUCAGCAUAGACAUUUUGCAUAAUAGGGAAUUCUUGUUUUUCAAGUAGCAAAGAUAGGAAGUAUUAUUGUGUGGCAACUUUGUCUUCAGAUUUAAUUUUUUUUUUUUAAUAUAAAAUGGAUUCUUUCCAGGAGAACUAUCAAACAGCAAAGUGUCUGGAUGUCACAGCUGCAUCCUGUAAAUGUCUCUUUAGUUUCACCAAUGGUAAAACCUGUUUUGACCUUCUAGUAAAAGAAAAUAGCCCAAAUAUACCAGAGAAAGCACAGUGUCUCCAAAGGGCCUGGCCUAAGUGAGCACCCAGAAUCCCAGAAAGCCAAGAAAUUUGAAGGCAGUCAGACUUGAUUUAAUUAUUUUUUACUACAAGUCUCAUUUGAGAGAAUGAUUAACGGGAGAAGAGACAUAAAUGGCAAAGUCUUGAUCAAAGAAGCUGCUGUCAGAGUACCAUCUAGAUAAAUUAGGAAAAGAAUGCUCAGGUUUCUGUGAAAGAAGACUAAUGACAUCAAGUCAAGAUGAAAUAGAAAGGAGCAGCAUUGCAGGCUGGAAAUCAUAAAAGACUAGCGUGCCCUGACAAGAAGCCCUGAGAAAUUUCCCGAACUGGAAAGUAAUUGGAAUUGGAAAGGAAUUACUUUCUGUAAGUGCCGGGUCUUGAAGUUACGCAGGACUGAAGAUGACCCAGGCACCAAACUUGCUUUUUGGAACCUGUCAAGACAAGUGAAGAAAUCUUCUGGAAGCAUCUGAAGCUGUUAGUAUCAGCUCUACACACUGCAGGUAUUCUGCAUCUUAUGCACUCACUCUACUCAACUAGGAUCAGUCCCUUCACCUAAAAGCUCAAACGGUCCCACCUGGAGGCAAGCAGACAGUGGAUAAAAGGAGACUGUGAAACUAACAGCUAACAACUGAGCCAAGAUCACUGCAACCAGCAGAGUUCACUGAGACCAGCAGCUGAUCACUUCAGACCAGCAGAGGAUCAGUUAGAUCAUUCAGAGCAAUGGAGCAACCUGGCCAAUCAGACAAUGAAGGAAGGUAUAUGUAUAUAUGUGCCAGAGGGUAAAUUAAUAGCUCCAGCCUCAAAGAGAGUUCUUGAACAGGAGGUAAUCUGACACAAAGCAUAUUUACACCAUAAAUACCUGAUGUAUUACUUCAUCAGCAAAUUCAACAAGGCCAAGAUGUCUUCAUUUUCCUUCAGAGCAAGAGCUGUAAGAGCAGUGUGGUGGAAGGAUUGGUCUUCUGUGGCCAGCCGGAAAGAAGGGAAAAGAGGGAUUUGACCAAUCAUGUCAACUGUGGCCUUAUGUUUGAAGAAGAGUUUUUCAAGCAACUGCUCUCACAGGAAACGCUGGUUCUCAGUGGGAAAUCAGGUUGCUGUUUGCUUGCCAGUGGUGACCAAGGUAAACAGGUGUGUCCAGAGCUACUGUGUCAGCAAAAGUUCUAAAAAGCUCAUGGUAAAGUGUCUGCUUUCACCUCUCAGAUUCAAGCUGAUUA